CUGUUUCCACUGACAGACCUUCAACAAUUCACUGUUGUUUUUUUGGCUUACACUAGGAUGUGAAAGAUAAAUUCCUGAGCUGUCUUUAUGGCAGCCCAGAUUGAGAAAUUGAGAAAUACAUUU